CCUACGGGAGGCAGCAGUGAGGAAUAUUGGUCAAUGGGCGCGAGCCUGAACCAGCCAAGUCGCGUGAGGGAAGACGGUCCUAUGGAUUGUAAACCUCUUUUGUCGGGGAGCAAAAGACGCCACGUGUGGCGUUCCGAGAGUACCCGAAGAAAAAGCAUCGGCUAACUCCGUGCCAGCAGCCGCGGUAAUACGGAGGAUGCGAGCGUUAUCCGGAUUUAUUGGGUUUAAAGGGUGCGCAGGCGGGCUGUUAAGCCGGCGGUGAAAAUUCAGGGCUCAACCCUG
rnacentral:rRNA from 1 species